ACCAAUUCAAUUCCUCUACAAAAUCUUUAAAAGUGGACCAGUGGUGGACCUUCCGUCCAAUGGACAUUGAAAUCCUCACUGGACGAGGCUGCAUUCUUCGGUGGCGCAUUCUCUGUUGGCGUUUGCCACACUGCAGCUACUCUCACUGAAGUUGUCCUUUCGGGCAGAACUCCCUGGCCGAAAAGUGACACCAAAGACACCGUUGAGCAAGGAGGCUUCACCCAUUGCAUCUGUUGCUGUGUGCGGCGCAUCUACGCUUGAAGCGAAAUAGGUACAUAAUUCAAAUUGCAAUUGGAUUGGCUGCAUACAUCCUUAAAAACUGAGGACCGAACUUACGGCGGAAGCGUUUUACACAGAAGCGGAAACAAUCGGUCAAGAAUCUCUACCCAAAGGCAGCCACCAAUAUGGUCCGCCCAUUCUCGAUGUUUGGUUAACUCUUCGGAGAGCAAAGCCCACAACAAGGACAGCUUCAGAGACGGUAGCUGCAGUGUUGAGAGCUCGAACAAAAGUCUGCUCCACUGUGGCAAGCAGGCUCAUCCAGUGAAGAUCUCAAUGGUCAUAGGACAGUAACCAGAAGCCACACAGUCAUGCCCGUACCCUUAGUGAAUGAAUAAAUUUAUUGUAAUCUACA